rnacentral:misc_RNA from 1 species
AGUGUCUCUUGCGUGGAGCUAUGGUUAGCAUAAGAUUCCCCUGGAAGAAAGCUUGCCACAACCUUAACAGGAUGUAUCUCAAAAUGAUCAAUGUAAUACUUUUGACUUGGAGUAUUUGUAUCUCUGAGGGACGUUCUCCAGAAAGGAACAAUUCUCAUUAAUGUCUCUUCAUCGAGGUUGAAAUCAAGGGGCUGGAGCACAAUUGAUAAGUGUUGGACAUGUUUGACACUAGAACUUGAUGCAGCUAGAACAAGUCCAACACGGAGUACACGGUCAUUUGUGUCGAUAUUUUCUACGUGGUGCCUCCGAAGCAUUGAUGCAAAAGGAGCUCCAAUCCACUUAGGCUCCA